UACGUAGGGCGCAAGCGUUGUCCGGAAUUAUUGGGCGUAAAGAGCUCGUAGGCGGCUUGUCACGUCGGGUGUGAAAGCCCGGGGCUUAACCCCGGGUCUGCAUUCGAUACGGGCUAGCUAGAGUGUGGUAGGGGAGAUCGGAAUUCCUGGUGUAGCGGUGAAAUGCGCAGAUAUCAGGAGGAACACCAGUGGCGAAGGCGGCGAUCUGGGAAGAUACUGACGCUGAGGUGCGAAAGCGUGGGGAGCAAACAGG
rnacentral:rRNA from 1 species